CUUGGUGCUGUGGUGAGGGAGUGGGAGCAGGAGGAGACAUGAAACCAACUCUUUCAUGUAAAGAAAAGAAGACAAGAAACUCCACCGAAGAUUAUGUUGAGAUUUGACUGCCUUAUACUGCAGGAACCCCAGAGAAAAAGACAGCUCCAUAAAAACCACAUCAACAUCUUCAUUCAUUCUUUGUUUGUUAAUCAGAUGGAGAAACUUGGGAACAGAGAAGUUACGUGACUUGUCUGUGGGCACGCAGUCUAUUGCAGAGUUGGGUGAAGAGCUCAGGUCCCUAUAAAGUGUCAUCCAUGAAGUUUGGUUUCAAAAGUGUCCAGGUGGAAAUGGUGUGAUUUAAAUGUGAAUGUCUAACAUUUAGGGUGCAGCAAAAAGGAGAAAGGAUCUCAGUGUAAGUCUAUACUACAAAUGCUGCAUCAGCAUCAUCUUAAUUAUUCCACCUCUACAAGAGGCGGUAGCUAUAUCUUCACUAGACCCACUAAAUCAAUCCCUGCUGCAUCAAUUGCAGCAGCAUUGAUCUCCCUGGUAGACCAUCCCUAAGUUGCUCAGAGAUAGCAAUGUACUUAUACAGAAGUAAGUGUGUAGUGUAGACCUGGCCUCAGCAAAUUUAUUUUCUCUCUCUCUUCCCUUUAUGAUAAAGGAAUAAAGAGCAUGCAAAUAAGAUAUUGAUCCUGCAUACUAACCCCCUUUUCUCACUUCUUUUGCUCAACCCCUUUUCCUCAAAUAAACUUAUUAAUAAAAUAAAAGUAUUGGUAUUAAUCUGUGUGCUGAUACUUUUAUUUUAACAUAGCAGAGGAGAUUUACAUAUAAUUGUUGCAUGGAAGGAAGUUAUUGUUCAAUAAUAGAGUAAUUAUUAACUCUAGUCUAAUAGAGAGUAGAAGAACUUGAAUUUCAUGCCUUCCUUGAUGGGUUAUUUUUCUAUUUGAGUUGUUUUAAAAUGAAUUUAGUCUGUAGAUUUUGUCUGUUUGUUUUUAAGGAUCUAAAAAUCUCAGUGAACUUUAUUUCCUCAGCAUGUAGAUUAGCCUUUAAUGAGAUCAAUGAGUAGUGUUGGUACUUCACUGGUCAAAAUUGUAAAUGUGUUGUUGCAUUUCCUAUUUACCCUGUGGCAUCAGGAUUUCUGUGUGUUACUGCUAAUGUGUUUGCAUUCUAUUAGCCGUCUAUAAAAUUUAUGAUCAGAGAGAUAUUGCACAAACAAUGCAGGGAGUAGAGUGCUUGGCAUUAUUUUAAGAAUAAAGCAGCACCAAAUAUGGUCUAAAAAGAAAAAAAGAUAUGGCAUAAAUAGGGUAUUACGAAUGUUUAAGAUAUGGGGCUAAUAGGAUAUUGAGAAUGUCUAAGCAGUAAGGAGUUGAGAUUAGUUUCAUAAAAACAAUACAUUGCGAAUUUUCAUAACAUGUCAGAGAUGGAAGAAAUUAAUAUGGCUCCUAAUGGUCACAGGCAGGGGGAAAUCACAAAUAAUCUGAAUAGCAAAAAACUAUUUGAGGAGCCUUGAUUAGCCAAGGGGAGGAGUAGGAGGAAGGAACACAGAGGUUCCUGAAAGAUGGAGCUACAGGGAAGUUGGCAAG